UUUCAGACUCUCGACCCACAUUUUCUCUGCCUGGCUCCUGCUCUCCCCGUCUCCCUCCUCACCUCAUCUCCCAACUUAUUUUCGAUUUAUACUUUAAUCUCAUAUGAAUCUCCUUGGUCUCAAAGGUGUCCUCUCAUCUGAACCCAGAAAAGCUUUAGCCUUCCGAUGACUUUGGUUGCCAUAAUCAAUCUUGGUCGUUGGCCGACAACCAGACUGCAACAUCGUCUUGACUCACUCCAGCAUCAACAGAUUCCAACUUCAAACCCUCUUCGACCCUUUUUGCCAAAAUCGUUCUCACCGAUUUGUCAACAGGAGAUGGAUAUCGGUGGCGAUGAUCGAUGUUCGUUGUUGUGUGGAUGAUCCCAGUGGAGCUUUGGUUUUCAGCUUUGGUGAUUUCUACGUGAAUUUUGGGGAUUUGGUUUGGGUUUCUAGUUAGGUGUCAUUAAUAUGAAGUGUGAACUGGUUGAUCCAGAUGGUCUACUAAAGCAGCUAAGGGUAUUGGAAUCGGUUAAUGUAGAUGGCAUUUAUGAUUGAUUGCUGGUGGGGAAUAGUAGAGGGACAUGCUCCACAGAAGUAUAAUUGGAAUGGAUACAAUAGGCUCUUUCAGAUGAAACUUUUGUCCUCGUAUGUUGAUGCUUCUUAAUAGUGGUGGUGCCGUGCAUGUUCUUGGUUAAAUUAAUCGAGUACAUCCGUAAUUUGGAAUAGUUCUUUUCUAAAUUACGGAGAACCGCCGAGCUCACUUCCAGCCAGAUUCCGUCAAUUUAGGAGAGUUGGUGAUGUUAUUUAAUAUCUUAGUCUCCAAGGAGAAGAAAGACAAUAGGAACAAGGCACGACAUGGAACAAGCAAACUCAUGAGAAUGUUAGCGUUCAAGUGAUUCGGGAAGAGGGUGACAGAUCAUUUGAAAAAAAUCAGGGUUCUCAAGGUGAACAGGAAUCCCAUAAUCGAUCUCAAGGCCUCAUGCGAGGGGAGGACAUGAGUCGGGAUCAGGGCAGGGAGGAGAGUUGGUGACCAUCAAUGUUCCAUUGAAGCUCUGGAGGCAGAGCACCCAAUAGUCGAUUUCAACUUCCAAAUGAACAUGAAGUCGUCUUCUCAAGUCAACAUCUUUGCAUUGCAAUAGUAUACUUGAUAUAUGUGUGUACAUAAUUGCAAGAUUUUUUUCUUUCUUUCGCUGUGCUAAAUUUUCCAGUAGAUCCAAUCAUCAGGUGUAAAGUCUUGAAUGUGAUGUUUUUAUUAGCCGUACUGGGUUUUUUGGAAUUUGAUUGGUUAAUUGUGUCCAAGAAUUUUUGACGUUUUAUUGGGCUUUUAGUUCUUGGUUA